AAAGGCCUGUUGGAAUGAUUUGUGAAUGGCAUUUGUUUUGCUUUGUUUUUCUUAAUCUAGGAGGGAGAUACAUGAAAGCCACAUCUUACUCCUUCUAAACACUCUGUCCCACUCAGAGAGGGCAGUGAUGCCUGGCCCUGCAGUCGUUUUGAGAUUACAAGCUGUGCACUCACAGAGAAGAGCAGCACACAAGGAAGCAGGUGGGCACGAUGGACUAGCCAGAUCCCAGACGGCAUCACUGAAGCUACCAAAGCCAAGAGAAUCCCGGCCCCCUUCAUACUUCUGAACACCGCCUCACCACCCACUUCUGGCAUUCUCCAUCUGACUGGAAGAACAUGAGUGUGCAGGCUGGGGACUAUAUGUCCAGAACUCACCCGUGAAGCCACACCUAACUCAGAGAAGAGAGAGGAACAAAUGGAACUGGUACAAGCCAGGGGGUGCUGUCCUUCCAAUAUCACCUUCAAACAAUAAACUUCAGCCGGGUGUGGUGGCAC